rnacentral:rRNA from 1 species
AUUGAACGCUGGCGGCAGGCUUAACACAUGCAAGUCGAACGGUAACAGGAAGCAGCUUGCUGCUUCGCUGACGAGUGGCGGACGGGUGAGUAAUGUCUGGGAAGCUUCCUGAUGGAGGGGGAUAACUACUGGAAACGGUAGCUAAUACCGCAUAAUGUCGCAAGACCAAAGAGGGGGACCUUCGGGCCUCUUGCCAUCGGAUGUGCCCAGAUGGGAUUAGCUUGUUGGUGGGGUAACGGCUCACCAAGGCGACGAUCCCUAGCUGGUCUGAGAGGAUGACCAGCCACACUGGAACUGAGACACGGUCCAGACUCCUACGGGAGGCAGCAGUGGGGAAUAUUGCACAAUGGGCGCAAGCCUGAUGCAGCCAUGCCGCGUGUAUGAAGAAGGCCUUCGGGUUGUAAAGUACUUUCAGCGGGGAGGAAGGGAGUAAAGUUAAUACCUUUGCUCAUUGACGUUACCCGCAGAAGAAGCACCGGCUAACUCCGUG